rnacentral:rRNA from 1 species
GAUGAACGCUGGCGGCGUGCCUAAUACAUGCAAGUCGAGCGAACGGACGAGAAGCUUGCUUCUCUGAUGUUAGCGGCGGACGGGUGAGUAACACGUGGAUAACCUACCUAUAAGACUGGGAUAACUUCGGGAAACCGGAGCUAAUACCGGAUAAUAUUUUGAACCGCAUGGUUCAAAAGUGAAAGACGGUCUUGCUGUCACUUAUAGAUGGAUCCGCGCUGCAUUAGCUAGUUGGUAAGGUAACGGCUUACCAAGGCAACGAUGCAUAGCCGACCUGAGAGGGUGAUCUGCCACACUGUAACUGAGACACGGUCCAGACUCCUACGGGAGGCAGCAGUAGGGAAUCUUCCGCAAUGGGCGAAAGCCUGACGGAGCAACGCCGCGUGAGUGAUGAAGUUCUUCGGAUCGUAAAACUCUGUUAUUAGGGAAGAACAUAUGUGUAAGUAACUGUGCACAUCUUGACGGUACCUAAUCAGAAAGCCACGGCUAACUACGUG